rnacentral:rRNA from 1 species
UACCUACGGGGGGCAUCAGUAGUGAAUUUUCGUCACUUUUCUCCAGCCUGAACGCGCAAUGCCGCGUGAACGAGGAAGGUCUUCGGAUCGUAAAGUUCUGUUGAAGGGGAAAAAGAGCGGAGAGAGGAAAUGAACUCCGAUUGAUAUUACCCUUCGAGGAAGUCACGGCUAACUACGUGCCAGCAGCCGCGGUAAUACGUAGGUGGCGAGCGUUAUCCGGAAUGAUUGGGCGUAAAGGGUGCGUAGGCGGCCUGCUAAGUCUGGAGUGAAAGGUACCGGCUCAACCGGUACAGGCUCUGGAAGCU